AUUGAACGCUGGCGGAAUGCUUUACACAUGCAAGUCGAACGGCAGCACGGGGGCAACCCUGGUGGCGAGUGGCGAACGGGUGAGUAAUACAUCGGAACGUGCCCAGUCGUGGGGGAUAACGCAGCGAAAGUUACGCUAAUACCGCAUACGAUCUACGGAUGAAAGCGGGGGACCGUAAGGCCCCGCGCGAUUGGAGCGGCCGAUGUCAGAUUAGGUAGUUGGUGAGGUAAAGGCUCACCAAGCCGACGAUCUGUAGCUGGUCUGAGAGGACGACCAGCCACACUGGGACUGAGACACGGCCCAGACUCCUACGGGAGGCAGCAGUGGGGAAUUUUGGACAAUGGGCGCAAGCCUGAUCCAGCCAUUCCGCGUGCAGGACGAAGGCCUUCGGGUUGUAAACUGCUUUUGUACGGAACGAAAAGGCUCUGGUUAAUACCUGGGGCUCAUGACGGUACCGUAAGAAUAAGCACCGGCUAACUACGUGCCAGCCGCCGCGGUAA
rnacentral:rRNA from 1 species